rnacentral:rRNA from 1 species
AUUGAACGCUGGCGGCAGGCCUAACACAUGCAAGUCGAACGGUAGCACAGAGAGCUUGCUCUCGGGUGACGAGUGGCGGACGGGUGAGUAAUAUCUGGGAAACUGCCCGAUGGAGGGGGAUAACUACUGGAAACGGUAGCUAAUACCGCAUAAUGUCGCAAGACCAAAGAGGGGGACCUUCGGGCCUCUUGCCAUCGGAUGUGCCCAGAUGGGAUUAGCUUGUUGGUGAGGUAAUGGCUCACCAAGGCGACGAUCCCUAGCUGGUCUGAGAGGAUGACCAGCCACACUGGAACUGAGACACGGUCCAGACUCCUACGGGAGGCAGCAGUGGGGAAUAUUGCACAAUGGGCGCAAGCCUGAUGCAGCCAUGCCGCGUGUGUGAAGAAGGCCUUCGGGUUGUAAAGCACUUUCAGCGGGGAGGAAGGCAAUGCGGUUAAUAACCGUGUUGAUUGACGUUACCCGCAGAAGAAGCACCGGCUAACUCCGUG